CCUACGGGGUGCUGCAGUGGGGAAUAUUGGACAAUGGGCGAAAGCCUGAUCCAGCCAUGCCGCGUGUGUGAAGAAGGCCUUCGGGUUGUAAAGCACUUUCAGUGGGGAAGAAAGCCUUGGGGCUAAUACCCUCGAGGAAGGACAUCACCCACAGAAGAAGCACCGGCUAACUCCGUGCCAGCAGCCGCGGUAAUACGGAGGGUGCGAGCGUUAAUCGGAAUUACUGGGCGUAAAGCGCGCGUAGGCGGUCUGAUAAGCCGGUUGUGAAAGCCCCGGGCUCAACCUGGGAACGGCAUCCGGAACUGUCAGGCUAUAGUGCAGGAGAGGAAGGUAGAAUUCCCGGUGUAGCGGUGAAAUGCGUAGAGAUCGGGAGGAAUACCAGUGGCGAAGGCGGCCUUCUGGACUGACACUGACGCUGAGGUGCGAAAGCGUGGGUAGCAAACAGGAUUAGAUACCCCAGUAGUC
rnacentral:rRNA from 1 species